rnacentral:rRNA from 1 species
CGGGACGGGUGAGUAACGCGUGGAUAACCUGCCUCGCACUGGGGGAUAACAGUUAGAAAUGACUGCUAAUACCGCAUAAGCGCACAGUACCGCAUGGUACGGUGUGAAAAACUCCGGUGGUGUGAGAUGGAUCCGCGUCUGAUUAGCCAGUUGGCGGGGUAACGGCCCACCAAGGCGACGAUCGGUAGCCGGACUGAGAGGUUGAACGGCCACAUUGGGACUGAGACACGGCCCAG